GACCGCCGAGGCAGAGCAAAUCUCAAAAAGACCGUCCCACGUUCGGAUUGCAGGCUGCAACCCGCCUGCAUGAAGUUGGAAUCGCUAGUAAUCGCGGAUCAGCAUGCCGCGGUGAAUACGUUCCCGGGCCUUGUACACACCGCCCGUCACACCAUGAGAGUCGGGAACACCCGAAGUCCGUAGUCUGACCGCAAGGGGGACGCGGCCGAAGGUGGGUUCGAUAAUUGGGGUGAAGUCGUAACAAGGUACC
rnacentral:rRNA from 1 species